rnacentral:rRNA from 1 species
AGAGUUUGAUCAUGGCUCAGGAUGAACGCUGGCGGCGUGCUUAACACAUGCAAGUCGAACGAAGCGAUUUAACGGAAGUUUUCGGAUGGAAGUUAAAUUGACUAAGUGGCGGACGGGUGAGUAACGCGUGGGUAACCUGCCUCAUACAGGGGGAUAACAGUUAGAAAUGACUGCUAAUACCGCAUAAGCGCACAGUAUCGCAUGACACAGUGUGAAAAACUCCGGUGGUAUGAGAUGGACCCGCGUCUGAUUAGCUAGUUGGUGGGGUAACGGCCUACCAAGGCGACGAUCAGUAGCCGACCUGAGAGGGUGACCGGCCACAUUGGGACUGAGACACGGCCCAAACUCCUACGGGAGGCAGCAGUGGGGAAUAUUGCACAAUGGGCGAAAGCCUGAUGCAGCGACGCCGCGUGAGCGAAGAAGUAUUUCGGUAUGUAAAGCUCUAUCAGCAGGGAAGAAAAAUGACGGUACCUGACUAAGAAGCACCGGCUAAAUACGUGCCAGCAGCCGCGGUAAUACGUAUGGUGCAAGCGUUAUCCGGAUUUACUGGGUGUAAAGAGAGCGCAGGCGGUUUAGCAAGUCUGAUGUGAAAGCCCGGGGCUCAACCCCGGUACUGCAUUGGAAACUGUUAAACUAGAGUGUCGGAGGGGUAAGUGGAAUUCCUAGUGUAGCGGUGAAAUGCGUAGAUAUUAGGAGGAACACCAGUGGCGAAGGCGGCUUACUGGACGAUUACUGACGCUGAGGCUCGAAAGCGUGGGGAGCAAACAGGAUUAGAUACCCUGGUAGUCC